rnacentral:rRNA from 1 species
UACGUAGGGGGCAAGCGUUAUCCGGAUUUACUGGGUGUAAAGGGAGCGUAGACGGAGAGGCAAGUCUGAUGUGAAAACCCGGGGCUCAACCCCGGGACUGCAUUGGAAACUGUUUUUCUAGAGUGUCGGAGAGGUAAGCGGAAUUCCUAGUGUAGCGGUGAAAUGCGUAGAUAUUAGGAGGAACACCAGUGGCGAAGGCGGCUUACUGGACGAUGACUGACGUUGAGGCUCGAAAGCGUGGGGAGCAAACAGG